rnacentral:rRNA from 1 species
UACGUAGGGUGCGAGCGUUGCCCGGAUUUAUUGGGCGUAAAGGGCGCGUAGGCGGCUCUGCACGUUCGUUGUGAAAUCGCCCGGCUCAACUGGGCGGGGUCAGCGGAUACGGCGGAGCUUGAGCAAGCUAGGGGGCAAUGGAAUUCCCGGUGUAGUGGUGGAAUGCGUAGAUAUCGGGAGGAACACCAGUGGCGAAAGCGGCGCACUGGACCACAACUGACGCUGAGGCGCGAAAGCUAGGGGAGCAAACAGG